UACGGGGGGAGCAAGCGUUGUUCGGAUUUACUGGGCGUAAAGGGCGGGUAGGCGGCCACCGCAGGUCAGUUGUGAAAUCUCCGGGCUUAACCCGGAAAGGUCAACUGAUACUGCGGGGCUAGAGUGCAGAAGGGGCAACUGGAAUUCUCGGUGUAGCGGUGAAAUGCGUAGAUAUCGGGAGGAAUACCGAUGGCGAAGGCAGGUCUCUGGGCUAUAACUGACGCUCAUGCACGAAAGCGUGGGGAGCAAACAGG
rnacentral:rRNA from 1 species